rnacentral:rRNA from 1 species
UACGUAGGGGGCAAGCGUUGUCCGGAAUCAUUGGGCGUAAAGCGCGUGUAGGCGGUCCGGUAAGUCCGCUGUGAAAGUCGGGGCUCAACCCUCGGAUGCCGGUGGAUACUGUCGGGCUUGAGUACGGAAGAGGCGAGUUGGAAUUCCUGGUGUAGCGGUGAAAUGCGCAGAGUAUCAAGGAAGAACACCCGUGGCGAAGGCGGUUCUCUGGGACGGUACUGACGCUGAGACGCGAAGCGUGGGAGCGAACAGG